UACGUAGGGGGCAAGCGUUGUCCGGAAUCAUUGGGCGUAAAGAGCGCGUAGGCGGUCCGGUAAGUCCGCUCUGAAAGCCCGGGGCUCAACCCCGGGAGGCGGGCGGAUACUGUCGGGCUAGAGUCCGGAAGAGGCGAGUGGAAUUCCUGGUGUAGCGGUGAAAUGCGCAGAUAUCAGGAGGAACACCGAUGGCGAAGGCAGCUCGCUGGGACGGUACUGACGCUGAGGAGCGAAAGCAUGGGGAGCGAACAGG
rnacentral:rRNA from 1 species